rnacentral:rRNA from 1 species
CCCUUAGAUGUCCUGGGCCGCACGCGCGUUACACUGAUGCAUUCAACGAGCUUAUAACCUUGGCCGAGAGGCCUGGGCAAUCUUGUUAACGUGCAUCGUGAUAGGGAUAGAUUAUUGAAAUUAUUAAUCUUGAACGAGGAAUUCCUAGUAAACGCAGAUCAUCAAUCUGCAUUGAUUACGUCCCUGCCCUUUGUACACACCGCCCGUCGCACCUACCGAUUGGAUGGUCCGGUGAAGCCUCGGGAUUGUGGUUCUUGCCGCUUUAUUGUGGCGUGACCCCGAGAACUUGUCUAAACCUUAUCAUCUAGAGGAAGGUGAAGUCGUAACA